rnacentral:tRNA from 1 species
GCCGGGGUGGCGGAACUAGCAGACGCGCACGGCUCAGAACCGUGUUUUAUUGAGGGUGCAAUUCCCUCCCUCGGUACCA